rnacentral:rRNA from 1 species
UACGAAGGGUGCAAGCGUUAAUCGGAAUUACUGGGCGUAAAGCGCGCGUAGGUGGUUCGUUAAGUUGGAUGUGAAAUCCCCGGGCUCAACCUGGGAACUGCAUUCAAAACUGUCGAGCUAGAGUAUGGUAGAGGGUGGUGGAAUUUCCUGUGUAGCGGUGAAAUGCGUAGAUAUAGGAAGGAACACCAGUGGCGAAGGCGACCACCUGGACUGAUACUGACACUGAGGUGCGAAAGCGUGGGGAGCAAACAGG